CCAACAGGGAUUGCCCUAGUAACGGGAGUGAAGCGGCAACAGCUCAAUUUGAAAUCUGGCGCAAGCCCGAGUUGUAAUUUGUAGAGGAUGCUUCUGGGUAGCGACCGAUCUAAGUUCCUUGGAACAGGACGUCAUAGAGGGUGAGAAUCCCGUAUGUGACCGGCCCGCACCCUUUACGUAGCUCCUUCGACGAGUCGAGUUGUUUGGGAAUGCAGCUCUAAAUGGGAGGUAAAUUUCUUCUAAAGCUAAAUACCGGCCAGAGACCGAUAGCGCACAAGUAGAGUGAUCGAAAGAUGAAAAGUACUUUGGAAAGAGAGUUAAAAAGCACGUGAAAUUGUUGAAAGGGAAGCGCCUGCAACCAGACUUCGCGGCAGUGUUCCGCCGGUCUUCUGACCGGUUCAUUCUCUGUCGCGAGGCCAUCAUCGCCUGGGCCCGCCGGAUAAGACCUUAGGAAUGUAGCUCACCUUCGGGGGAGUGUUAUAGCCUAGGGUGAUGCGGCGAGGCUCGGGCGAGGUCCGCGCUUCGGCAAGGAUGAUGGCGUAAUGGUUGUCGGCGGCCCGUCUUGAAACACGGACCAAGGAGUCUAACAUCUAUGCGAGUGUUCGGGUGUCAAACCCCUACGCGUAAUGAAAGUGAACGGAGGUGGGGAACCGCAAAGGUGCACCAUCGACCGAUCCUGAUGUCCUCGGAUGGGAUUUGAGUA
rnacentral:rRNA from 1 species